CACUCACACGAGCGGUACCGAUUUUCGGGAGAAGGUAUACGCUACCUGUGCAGACUGCUGGGUCCCAAGAUUCAGCAUUCCACAUCACAGAGCCAUGCUCUGACCCACCCCACAGAUGGUGUGUAUUGGGCUCAGAUUUUUUUGCAAGUGGCAUGUUCUUAUAUGCAGUAGGAGAUGCUGAAAACCUCAGCAAAGCCACUAUUUUGCCGCUCCAUCAGACAAGUGUAUCUGGCUUUGAAAGGUAUUGUGCACAUCUUCGUCACCUUCCCCGGCCACAGAAGAACGUGUUACUUUUAGAACAGUCACAGUUUGGCCUACUCAUUAUUUUGUGUAACAGGUUUCUCUAAUGUGAUUGGUGCGCUUGACUGCACCCACAUUAGACUGAAAUGUCCCUCAGGAGCACAUGAAGGGGAUUUUGUGAACUGAAAAUCCUACCACAGUAUCGAUGUUCAGAUGAUCUGUGAUGCUGACUGUGUAUUCAGUAACAUAGAGGCAAAGUGGCCUUUCUCGGUCCAUGACUCCCGCAUCUUUCGUGACAGUACUAUUUACCAGAGACUAUCAGAUGGUGAAUUCUCUGGCGUGUUGCUGGGAGACGAGGGUUAUGCCUGUCAGUCAUUUCUUCUCACUCCCUUCGCAGAUCCCCAGCCAGCAGCACAGCACACUUACAAUCUUGCCCAUGCAAGUAACAAGGGUCCGAAUAGAAAU